CAAUAGAACAGUUCACACUUCAAAGCUGUUCUCUGUAAUGUCUUUGUGGCAAGCAGUGUGGAAUAAUGAACAAGUCUGCGCCCUUACAAGUCAUCUGUUUCGUCUUUGGUGGAAAGGGAGUAAUGGUGAAAAAGAGAAUAACCAUGCGCUAGCUUCACCACAGAAGCUGAAGUAAAAAUCUGGUGCUCUUGCAUCAUUUUCUGCAAGAGGACUUCUUUCUGCAGGGGAGGUAUAUCUUCGACAGAUCUGCUGAUGAGGGGAAGAAAAUCUCGGCACUUUGGCGCCGGGAAGAUUGCAGGCAUGCGGGGUGGAGGCAGAGAGGGCGAACACUGCAGGUCCAAGAAAAAUAAUAAAAUUUUUAGAUUGUACUCACUUCCAGAAGAACUCUGCCACAAGUUUGAUAAAAAACAUAACUACCAUUUGGCAGAUCCUUUAACUGGAGCUGCACCUGAAUACUUGCAGAGGCUUCCUGAACUGGCUUCAUUAGAAUGUGAAACUGUGUUUGGGAAAGAAACAAAAAAUUACAAAAGAAGAAGAAAAGAGAAAUGUGGCCAAGCUAACAGGAAAGAAGCAAGCUCUUCAGUUACUUUGUGAACUAUGAGUUUGUUGCCACCGAAAUCCAAAAAUUACUCUCAUAUUCAGCAUGAUGUUCGAUAUUUUUUUCUUUAAAACUCUACCAACUGUAAGUAACUCAUAAAUACCACAAUUUGGUAUUACAUAUUUUAUAUUUAUAUAGGCUGUGUGCAGUGUGCUUUUUAGCAAACCAUACUGGACAUGUCUGGAAGCCCUGGAUAUGGUUGUGAGCUGCUGAGUCUGGACUUGUCCCUAGCCUGUAUCUUGAUUCUGUAUUGUGUAGGGAACACGCUCGCUUAGUCAUAUCUCUCUGCCCUUCUCUGAUUUCCUUGGACAGGAAAUCCAAGGCUAAUAGAAGCUUCAAUGUAUUGCAGCAGGCCUGUGAUGGCAGAUCAAAUGUCAUUAUGAAGUCUUAAUUGACAUGAAGACUUGCU